ACUCGAGUGGCGAACGGGUGAGUAACACGUGGGUGAUCUGCCCCGCACUUCGGGAUAAGCUUGGGAAACUGGGUCUAAUACCGGAUAGGAGCCAUCUUUAGUGUGGUGGUUGGAAAGUUUUUCGGUGUAGGAUGAGCUCGCGGCCUAUCAGCUUGUUGGUGGGGUAAUGGCCUACCAAGGCGGCGACGGGUAGCCGGCCUGAGAGGGUGUACGGCCACAUUGGGACUGAGAUACGGCCCAG
rnacentral:rRNA from 1 species